rnacentral:tRNA from 1 species
GCGGGUAUGGCGGAACUGGCAGACGCGCUAGACUUAGAAUCUAGUUCCCCCGGAGUGCAGGUUCGAUUCCUGUUACCCGCACCA